ACAGCUGACUAAGUGCUGAGCAGGCCCUUCAGCUCAAAUUAAAUCACCCUGUGGUAUCAGAAAGCACCAAUUCUAAAGAGCAUCUGGAAUGUGUGACUUCCUAUUUUCUACUUUUUCCAGAAGGGCUAAUGGAGAGAAAUGAAACUGUGCUUUGUCAAGAGAGUCAUCUCCUGCUUCUUCAGGUGAUGGAAAGCAUGUUGUAGGCUGUACUUCAAGUGCUGAAGAAAAGAAUGGCACAAUCCCCAUUGUAACUGAUGAUGAUAAGUCAGAUUUAUCCUUGCUUUUAUUGCUUCUCCAAAGCUAGUAGAAAUGCACUUGUAAAGAACUUUUUUUUUCCAUUCCCCAAGGCUCCAGAAAUAUAAUAGAAACAAAUUUCUGUCCUAGCCAUUGAUGAGUCCCUGACUGUUGCUGAUCCACAGAACCUGAGAUACCUUACUACAUGAACUUAUUUGCUCUUAUUUGGCUGCUCUUUGCAUGCAGAGCUCUUUUCCUUUCAGCUAAGCAAUGAAAGGGGCUCUGUCUGGAUUAAGUCAUGGGAUCACAUGGUAUUUAACUGCUUUGCUUGACUAAUUCCCUGAGGAAAUUUCAACAAGGGAGGCUACUUCCAUUGCCACCAUGAUUUUAAGCAAGACUAGAUAUAUAGGCUACAGCCUAUAUAUCAUGUGGAUUGAGGGGGGAGGGAGGAAGGAGGAGAGAGAAGAGCAAAGGAUGUGUGGGGGUUGUCCAUAUAUUUUGUUGUUGUUGGUUUGUUGGCUUGUGUUGUGUUGUGGUUGGAUUUUGUUAGUGUUUUUUUUUUUUUUUUUUUUUUUUUUUUCCUUUCUGGAUCUUCCCACACAACUUGUCAGUUUCUCAAGAAGUGAGACAAAAGAAUGGAAAAAGAAAUUGAAUGUGUUCUCAAUAAAAGCAGGAGAAUGACAGUCACUGACUGAGAACUAGAACUAAAAAUACUCCCCUCUAUUCUAAAGGUGAAUCUUUGAGAUAAGACUCAUUUUGCUAAUAAAAAGCAGCACAAACAGCUACUUUAACAAGUACAAAAAAACUGAGGUCCCUUUCAAAACAGAUUUGAUGCAGCUUAUUCUGACAGCAGUUUCUGUUCCUGUGUGGGUUUGGGUUUUGCUUAGAAAAAUAUUGAGAACAGUUGAUCAUUUGUGAACAAAACAGUUGUCCUUUCAAUUAUUUGUUACCACUGCUUCAGGUAAGUUGAUAACACGUGAUUGAGGAGACUAACAUUUUAACUGCCACCAAAAAGUGCUGUCUGACUUUCUUCACACUGAAUGACUUGUUCUGCUGACUAGGGAUAGGACAAUUGACCCAACAGUAACUACAAGCAAAGAUGAACAUGAGUGAUACAUCUCAAUGGUUUUUUUAUUUGUUUGUUUAAGAAUAAAAAAAUAAUCUGUCUUUUUGUACAUAAGCCUUUUGGAAUUGGCUGCUGUGUUGCAUAAGACCAGACUGACAGAAGAGGCCUCUGAGCUCUUUGGUUCUGAGUAAUUUUUGAACAACACAUACUGCCAAGAGUAAAACAAACUCAGAAAAAUACUGAGCAGAAAAAUGGCCCAGUGAAAAGUGCUGUCAGGUGAAUCACUCUUAAAUUCUGCUUUGCUGCAGUUCAUCCUUUUUGUCUGAAAAUAGUGGUUGCAAGAAUUAAAUAAGGAAAAAAUAUAGUUUUAUGUCUGAUAAUACAUAUUGCUUGAAUGAAGUCAUCAAUUAAAGCCAUUAACUCAGAGAAAGUGAGUUAAAGGACUGCAGUACAAAAUGUGACAGAAUGCGGUCUGGAACAAAGCAUAUGAAAAUACAGAAAAAUCCUGAAAGUGCUGAAACAGUUAAUCUGCUAUGCAAAUCACUAAGGUGUAAGUUGAUUAUACAGUUUUCUUACACCAUGCAUUCUGAUUUUUUCUAAUCAUAACUCAAGAAAAGAAAACAAUCCAAAAGGAGGUUCCUCACCUGGACUUAUAGUUGUGGGGCAUAGAGGGAUGUGUACAUUUUACAGGAACUACCAAAAGACACCCAGAAUAAUAGGGGCAAGGGGACUUCAGUCUUUCCAUGCAAUCCCACUUGGCUGCAGAGCCUAGGAGAGUGAUCUAUCCUGCAUAAACUAGAAAGAGUUUGCCUGAAGCUUUACAAGCCCAGACGGGUUGUAGUGUUACUCAGGUUGGGAUAAAGGAAAAAUGCUCUUGAAAGGGUUUCUUGAGAGAGCUUACACUACCUGGUAUUGUUUAUUUUCCAGAACUAUCCUGAUACCAGCUGAUCAAUGAAUAGAACAGGACUGUACUGAAUUCCUAGGCCGGGAGUGAUUAAUCAACAGCAGAUACCUAACACCAAAUUCAAAAGAUGAUUAUUUAGUCCAGAAUGUGUUAGUACUUACAAACUACAGAUGUAUUUCUCAGUAUAUAUCAUAACAUUCAUGGUAUCAGAGAAGAGUACUGUUGUGGUUUAACUGCCAAAAACAGGACAAGUACUUUAAUUCAAGGGGAAUCUCUGGAGGUCUACUUUCCAGGCAGGUCAAAAUUUCAAAGUUAAAUCAGGCUGCUGUAGUUUUGAACACCUCCAAGGAUGAAGAUUCCCCAAGUCUCUAUUGGUUCCUGUUUUCCUUUCAAAGUACAUCCCUAAGUUACAGUGUAGUAACUGGAUAAUGAGAAGAUUCUGAGAACCUUGAUUCAAACCUCGUUGUUUAAAUAUGAACUUAGUUUCUGGAAGCACUAGGUUUCUGAGAGAAAAUAUAUACAUAUAGUAUUCAAAUAUGUGUUUGAGGCAUGCAACAUAAAGUAUUUCAUAAUUAUCUCUUUCUUUCAUAACAAUUGAGUUCUCAUGCCUGUUGGAUCUGCCUGUAAAAUAAUUCUUACAGUUCAGUAAUACUUGCAACUAAAACAAGUAUAUUGAACCAUGUUUCUCCGUACAUGUGUUCUUUAUGAUCAGAAUGGUGUGAAAAGGGGACAUUUUAUGCCAUUUCUCUUUCAGUAUGUGUUUGCGAAGAUAUUUGGAAAGGGAGGCAAUAUGAAGCACUGAACACCACCACCACCUCACCCUGAGGCUUUAUGGGUGGGGAAAAAAACUGCUAUUUUAGCUUUUGAAAUGUGCAUAUGGUUUCUUUCCCUCUGAGCAGUAAAUCAGGGUAGAUGAUGCUUCAAGUGUGCAGAUGGAGCUGUACAAGUGGAAGAGAUGAGUAGUGCUAGGGGGUAACUAUUUUAAUAAAGAACUUAUCUGUGA